CCUCCUGAAUGAGGAGCAUGACUGCAGGUGACCCUUGAAGGCGCUAUGGGUGCGGGCUCUCGGGCCUGAGGUGCAGCCUGGGGAGGGGCACAGCUGAGGCCUGGCCUCGAGCGCGCUCCCAGCCUCAGCCCUUCCCGGGGGCUGCUCUGCCUGGUGGACAGGAUCACAGGACGGCACGGAGAGCAGGAACCACGCCCCUCCUCAACCCCUGCUCAGAAGGUGUCUUAUACGGCCGGCCUCGGUCCCUUUCACAAGCUCUCCGGCGGAACACUUGAGCCUUCAAACGACCGCCCUUCGCAAGCAUCCCGGAAGCCCCGCCCCGGCGUCCUGGGGAUGGGGAGAGAAGGAGACGCUCAAGGUUCCCCUGUCCUACUCAGUAGCUGAUUGCAGCCUCCUAAAAAAUGAAAUGCAUUCACCCGGAGUGGAGCGCUCCAAAGACCCUUUGAAGGGAAGCGGAGGUAAAAGGCUGCCUGGGAAAUGUCACCGGCUAAUGAAUGCUGCUUCGCUGCCAUAGCUGAGGCGUCAGUCAGACGCGUGCGGAGAGAAUGAUAGCCAUCCUCAUUAGGAAUUCAGGAUGACUGCUUCUGCUCUUCUGAACCCAAGGGGCCUUGGCUGAGCCCCCUCCCUCCCACCCCAUCCUGUUGUUCUGCUGUUAACAGAAAUAAUAAAUAUAAA